UACAGAGGGGGCAAGCGUUGUUCGGAAUUACUGGGCGUAAAGGGCGCGUAGGUGGCCAACUAAGUCAGACGUGAAAUCCCCAGGCUCAACUUGGGAACUGCGUCUGAUACUGGAUGGCUUGAAUUCGGGAGAGGGAUGCAGAAUUCCAGGUGUAGCGGUGAAAUGCGUAGAUAUCAGGAAGAACACCCGUGGCGAAGGCGGCUCUCUGGGACGGUACUGACGCUGAGACGCGAAAGCGUGGGGAGCGAACAGG
rnacentral:rRNA from 1 species